GUUUGUAAACCUCUUUUAGUAGGGAAGAAGCGAAAGUGACGGUACCUGCAGAAAAAGCACCGGCUAACUACGUGCCAGCAGCCGCGGUAAUACGUAGGGUGCAAGCGUUGUCCGGAAUUAUUGGGCGUAAAGAGCUCGUAGGCGGUUUGUCGCGUCUGCUGUGAAAUCCCGAGGCUCAACCUCGGGCUUGCAGUGGGUACGGGCAGACUAGAGUGCGGUAGGGGAGAUUGGAAUUCCUGGUGUAGCGGUGGAAUGCGCAGAUAUCAGGAGGAACACCGAUGGCGAAGGCAGAUCUCUGGGCCGUAACUGACGCUGAGGAGCGAAAGCAUGGGGAGCGAACAGGAUUAGAUACCCUGGUAGUCCAUGCCGUAAACGUUGGGCGCUAGAUGUAGGGACCUUUCCACGGUUUCUGUGUCGUAGCUAACGCAUUAAGCGCCCCGCCUGGGGAGUACGGCCGCAAGGCUAAAACUCAAAGGAAUUGACGGGGGCCCGCACAAGCGGCGGAGCAUGCGGAUUAAUUCGAUGCAACGCGAAGAACCUUACCAAGGCUUGACAUACACCGGAAACGGCCAGAGAUGGUCGCCCCCUU
rnacentral:rRNA from 1 species